rnacentral:lncRNA from 1 species
CUUAGAGUUAGGAAGACCUGAGUUUGAAUCCUGCCUCGGAUAUACUUAUUAUUAGCUGUGCGGCCCUGGACUCAAGCCUCUAUCACUCUGUUCCUCAUCUGUAAAAUGGAGAUAAUAGUUGCAUCAUUACAUGAUGCAUAUGUCUAUAUGUGCUAUCAUUACUAUUAUGUCAGUCCUAUGAGACAUGCUGGCAGCCCAGAGAAGAAAAAUACCCAAAACAGUUGUUGUGUAUAUCACAGUCCUGCCUUCUUUUUUUAUUGUCUUUAGUAAAAAGCAGUGACCCGAUCUCUAAUUCUCAGAACAUGUUAGAGUGAUAUGAACCCCCAAACAAUGAGACAUUCUCAGCAUGGGGUGAAAGGACUAGAGGAUGAGUCACCAGGCAGCAGGCAGGGACAAAGCUAUCGGCGACCUUGAAAUAAAUGCCUGUGGCUUUUUAAAUGCCUGUGUUUGGCUGAACCUGCCUGACUGCACCCAGGUGCUGAGCACCAUCACUGAACUAACAAGGAGAUUUAGAGGAAGUGGAGCCCAGGCUCAGCUAGCCUGCUGUUUGACUGUCAUGCUGGGGAUUAAUAUUGGAGGUCAGGAGAUGAUCUUAGAAAGAGAGCAAGAAGGUGUCCCAGAAGAAAAAAAAAACAACUUUGGAAGACUAAAGAAUUCUGUUGAUAGCAAAUAA